rnacentral:lncRNA from 1 species
UCAGAUCAAAUAAAUAAAUAUAUAGUCAAAAACAAAUUCCUCAAUAUAAAUAAAAUUUAUAUAGUAAAAAACAAAUAAACAAUUUUGACUAAAAAAUAAAAACAACUAAAGCUUACUAUAUUUUUGUAGAGAUAUUUUAAUUCUACAAAAUAGGCGUGGAGGUAUUUUUGUUUUAAAUUUUAAUUCUCCAAAAUUGGCGCGGAGGUAUUUUUGUGGAAAAACUAACUAACCACUCUCAAUUUCAACGACUAUUAAAACCCUAAAAUACUCUCAACCACUUCACUCUUCGUUUCAUUUCUUCCGUCGGAAUCCUAACUGCCACGCUCCGGAGAACUGCCACGUUUCCGUCCACGUUUUCGUCCACGUUUUCGUCCAGUAUUCCUUCUACUCUAAUUUCUUAUUAUGAGAUUCCACCGUAUUCGGCGAUCGGUGCUAAUAGUUUGAGAUUUUUUUUUCCAGAUUUUUCAGAGAGCAAUGAGGAACUGCGGUGGAUUUCUGAAGAUCAAGUUUAUUUCGCUGGAUUUCAAUGCUCCAACAAGUAGUUUUUCUUACUUUUUGAUCUUUCUUCGGUUGAAUUUUGCAAUGAUUCCGUGAUUGAUAGUUUUUGUUACUUUUUAGAUCUUUCUCUCCGUUGAUCUUUUCAAUGAUUCCGUGAUAGAGAGUUUUUGUUACUUUUUAGAUUAGAUGAAUCUUUUUAGAUCUUUCUUUCCCGUUAAUUUUGCAAUGAUUCCGUGAUUGAGUUUUUUUUUUUUUCCUUCUAGAUCUUCGGUUGAUUUUUGCAAUGAU